rnacentral:rRNA from 1 species
UGGGGAAUUUUGGACAAUGGGCGAAAGCCUGAUCCAGCAAUGCCGCGUGUGUGAAGAAGGCCUUCGGGUUGUAAAGCACUUUUGUCCGGAAAGAAAUCCUUGGCUCUAAUACAGUCGGGGGAUGACGGUACCGGAAGAAUAAGCACCGGCUAACUACGUGCCAGCAGCCGCGGUAAUACGUAGGGUGCAAGCGUUAAUCGGAAUUACUGGGCGUAAAGCGUGCGCAGGCGGUUUGCUAAGACCGAUGUGAAAUCCCCGGGCUCAACCUGGGAACUGCAUUGGUGACUGGCAGGCUAGAGUAUGGCAGAGGGGGGUAGAAUUCCACGUGUAGCAGUGAAAUGCGUAGAGAUGUGGAGGAAUACCGAUGGCGAAGGCAGCCCCCUGGGCCAAUACUGACGCUCAUGCACGAAAGCGUGGGGAGCAAACAGGAUUAGAUACCCUGGUAGUCACGCCCUAAACGAUGUCAACUAGUUGUUGGGGAUUCAUUUCCUAGUAACGUAGCUAACGCGCGAAGUUGACCGCCUGGGGAGUACGGUCGCAAGAUUAAAACUCAAAGGAAUUGACGGGGUCAUAGCUGUUU